rnacentral:rRNA from 1 species
ACAUGCAGUCGAGCGGACUUGAUGGAGUGCUUGCACUCCUGAUGGUUAGCGGCGGACGGGUGAGUAACACGUAGGCAACCUGCCCUCAAGACUGGGAUAACUACCGGAAACGGUAGCUAAUACCGGAUAAUUUAUUUUGCAGCAUUGUGAAAUAAUGAAAGGCGGAGCAAUCUGUCACUUGAGGAUGGGCCUGCGGCGCAUUAGCUAGUUGGUGGGGUAACGGCCCACCAAGGCGACGAUGCGUAGCCGACCUGAGAGGGUGAACGGCCACACUGGGACUGAGACACGGCCCAGACUCCUACGGGAGGCAGCAGUAGGGAAUCUUCCGCAAUGGGCGAAAGCCUGACGGAGCAACGCCGCGUGAGUGAUGAAGGUUUUCGGAUCGUAAAGCUUUGUUGCCAAGGAAGAACGUCUUCUAGAGUAACUGCUAGG